ACUUGUGAAGUCACAGACAGCUCAGUUUGCAUAUCUGAAACGCAAGUGGCUGGUGGGGCAUGGUGUGAAAAUGCCUUUAUUACAAGGAACUUAAGCUAAAACUAGGAGGCCACCACUUAGCACUUUACUGGUAAACAGCUUUGUUAUGAACAUUCAUAAUGAUGCUGUGAGGGAACAAGGGUGCAUGGGCUCUCUCAGGGACACACUCUCUCUAACACAGAUUGUGAAGAUCAUCACAUCAGAUUCUCCACCAAACUGCUCUGAUGAGCAGUGUCAUCCCUGGACAGCUAGCAGGAUAUACAUUUCCAUUCACAAAUAUCUAUGUGGAGACACAGAACCUGCUGCACUGUUGGGGAAGUUUUGCUGCCAAUGUCUGAAUGGAUAUGAGCAAAAAGACCAAAACUAUUCUCUGUCUUUGAUGCCAAUCAGAAUUGACACAGACAUAUCUGAGACUCUUUUUACAGGAGGUAUGUG
rnacentral:lncRNA from 1 species